UACGUAGGGGGCAAGCGUUGUCCGGAAUGAUUGGGCGUAAAGCGUCUGUAGGUGGCUUUUUAAGUCCGCCGUCAAAUCCCAGGGCUCAACUCUGGACAGGCGGUGGAAACUACCAAGCUCGAGUACGGUAGGGGCAGAGGGAAUUUCCGGUGGAGCGGUGAAAUGCGUAGAGAUCGGGAGGAACACCCGUGGCGAAGGCGGCCAACUGGGCCGGACCUGACGCUGAGGCGCGAAGGCGUGGGGAGCGAACGGG
rnacentral:rRNA from 1 species